UACAAGUUAACAUGUGUAGCACAGUAGGAUUCUGCGACAAUUUACUGUUAGGUGGAAAUAAUUCUCUGACAGUCAUUUGUAGCAGUAUCUUCCUGUGUUCUAUCUCCUGAUGGAACAU
rnacentral:precursor_RNA from 12 species